CUCACCAGCCCUGUGCUCUUGCUUCAGAAGUACUGAGGAGCAUAACACCUCUGCAUUGAGGUGAUGUCAAAGCCAUCUAUGAUCUUCUCCCAGUGCUGGAAAAACAAGUUUCAUAGCACUUCAUCUUUAAAGCCUGAGGGAGCUCUUGGCUGCACAGGAGAGCCCUCCUGCAUUUCUGCCACCAAAAGCAGUGCCAUGCAGAAGGACAGCUGAGGUCCUGCCUGCCUGUGGACAGGAAGUCCUGCUUCCCACAAAAGCUGAGCUCCAGAGGAGUUGGUGCCUUCAAGAAGUGAGAUGUCAGCUCAGCCUGCACCCAGCAUCUGCUUAUGAUGUGAUUUGAUACAAGUCUGAACAGGUCUUCAUGCCCUACUUCCUAUUGCGGCACGUGUCCGACUGCCAGUGAUCUCUCUGACCCGGCUAGCAGUGGAGUGGCUGGAGACGGGCUGCAACACGUGGUGGAGGAUGCGGGCACCCGACUGAAGAGCGCUGCCCCCCAGUGAACAUGGGGUAUUGAGGACAGCUCAGAGAGACUCCCAAUGUGAGGCCCUAGAACACCGCGGGCUUUGGUACUCGGGAGCGAGGUUUCGUGAGGAUCAGCAGAGGAGAGAGGGGAUGUAACCUUUCAAUUUUAAGUCUUGCUUUCCUUUUAAAAGCUGCCAAAGAAGACCCUAAAACCAUUACAUCAACACUUUAAGAUCAAAAUAAUCAACCCCACUCCCCUCUAGAAUUUUUCUUAAAUUUAAUUGAUUUCUUUUGAGAUGCAUUUAUUGUGUUGUUGUUUUGUUACAUGGUUGGGAUGCUAAGAGAUUAUUUUUCAUUUCAAUAAGGUAAUAAUUUAAAUUUUAGUUUUGAUUUUGCAAUAUUUAACAGACUUCCUUUCCCAGUUUUUGCAUUAUGCCAUUAUGCCCCCCAUGUCCCUGAACCCACUGACCCUGAGAAUGGAAUGGGAGAUGGAAUCUGCCAUCCCUAAUCUGCCAUUAGGGAAGAUUGGCCAUUCUUCCCUAACUGCUUUCUGUCAGCCCUCAACCCUAC